AAAAAGGCAACUUGUCUGUGGUUCUUGUCAGAAGCAAGUUGUGCUGGAGUAAGGCCAGUAUUAUCGGUCACCACCAAAUCCUCUUUCUUUCCAGCUUGCACUAACACUGUACAUGCCUCUAAAUUACCCCGAAUAGCUGCCCAAUGGAGAGGAGUGCAACCUUCCUUAUCUUGCCGUCCUCGAUAUGCAUCCAAAAACAAGAGAAGUCGUAUACAA
rnacentral:misc_RNA from 1 species